rnacentral:misc_RNA from 2 species
UUCUACAGUUACUGAAGUGAAGGA